CUGCAUGUAAAAUAAACGAGACACACACUUGUGUUCUCAAUUUGAGGAAUUGCCUUUUGCUUUUAAAUGCAACUUCCACACUGGUGACCCCGACGUUUGUUUGCUUGACGUAUUCACAAACACGACUCGACCAUGACCGCGAACGCUGUCACCCUCAAACUCCCCGAAUUCUGGGAAUCGUCAGCGUCGGCAUGGUUUGCCCAGACUGAAGCGCAGUUCGCGUUGCGGGAGAUAACCGCUGAUACAACACGGUACUACUACGUUGUGUCAGCUCUCGGUAACUCAACAGCAACCAGAGUGGUGAGUCUCCUUAAACAUCCUCCAGCUACGGAGAAAUAUGCAGCGCUCAAAGCCCACCUGUUAAAGACCUUUGAACUGUCCGACGCUGAGAGAGCUAGCAGGCUUUUCUCCCUCCAAGGACUGGGUGAUAGCAAACCGUCUGAGCUCAUGGACCGUAUGCUGGAUCUCCUGGGUGAGCACAGUCCCGAUUUUCUGUUCAUUCAACUUUUCCUGCGUCAGCUGCCUUCCCAAGUCAGAGCUGCAUUGGCCAACACCACAAUCACUGACUGUCGAAAACUGGCUGAAGAGGCUGAUAAAUUUUUCCUGGCAAGCCAAGGGCACUGUGUAAUGGCCGCACUUCUUCCCACGCACCUUGCUCCUGUGACAAUGGAGGAUUCCACACUUGUUGCAGCAACCUCUUCUCGUCGGCAGCAGUCUUCAGGUCGUCAGCAGUCUUCAGGCCCCCAGCAGUCUUCUUCAGGCUUGUGCUUCUAUCACGAGAAGUUUGGACCGAAGGCUCUUAAAUGCCGCUCGCCAUGCAGUUUCGGCGGGUUGGGAAACGCCAGGGCCGGCGCUCAUUAGUGGCCAUGAGUGUCGGCCGCGUAGGCAGGCUGCUUUUUAUCCGUGACAGCAUCUCCGGACGACGUUUCCUGUGUGACACGGGUGCACAGAGGAGCGUCCUGCCUGCAUCCCGUUUGGACAUGGUAACCGACAGCCAUGGCCCCCCGAUGGAAGCUGCUAAUGGGACCCCCAUCCGCACAUAUGGAAUAAGGUACAUUGAGUUG
rnacentral:lncRNA from 1 species